rnacentral:rRNA from 1 species
UGAAACCUACGGGAUGUCACACAUGCAGUCGAACGGCAGCGCGGACUUCGGUCUGGCGGCGAGUGGCGAACGGGUGAGUAAUGUAUCGGAACGUGCCCAGUAGCGGGGGAUAACUACGCGAAAGCGUAGCUAAUACCGCAUACGCCCUACGGGGGAAAGCGGGGGACCUUCGGGCCUCGCACUAUUGGAGCGGCCGAUAUCGGAUUAGCUAGUUGGUGGGGUAAAGGCCUACCAAGGCGACGAUCCGUAGCUGGUUUGAGAGGACGACCAGCCACACUGGGACUGAGACACGGCCCAGACUCCUACGGGAGGCAGCAGUGGGGAAUUUUGGACAAUGGGGGCAACCCUGAUCCAGCCAUCCCGCGUGUGCGAUGAAGGCCUUCGGGUUGUAAAGCACUUUUGGCAGGAAAGAAACGGCUCUGGCUAAUACCUGCGGCAACUGACGGUACCUGCAGAAUAAGCACCGGCUAACUACGUGCCAGCAGCCGCGGUAUACGUAGGGUGCAAGCGUCAAUCGGAAUU